rnacentral:rRNA from 1 species
UACGUAGGGUGCAAGCGUUAAUCGGAAUUACUGGGCGUAAAGCGUGCGCAGGCGGUUUUGUAAGUUUGUCGUGAAAGCCCCGGGCUCAACCUGGGAAUUGCGAUGAAGACUGCAAGGCUUGAAUCUGGCAGAGGGGGGUAGAAUUCCACGUGUAGCAGUGAAAUGCGUAGAGAUGUGGAGGAUACACCGAUGGCGAAGGCAGCCCCCUGGGUCAAGAUUGACGCUCAUGCACGAAAGCGUGGGGAGCAAACAGG